rnacentral:rRNA from 1 species
GAUGAACGCUGGCGGCGUGCCUAAUACAUGCAAGUCGAGCGAACAGACGAGGAGCUUGCUCCUCUGACGUUAGCGGCGGACGGGUGAGUAACACGUGGAUAACCUACCUAUAAGACUGGGAUAACUUCGGGAAACCGGAGCUAAUACCGGAUAAUAUAUUGAACCGCAUGGUUCAAUAGUGAAAGACGGUUUUGCUGUCACUUAUAGAUGGAUCCGCGCCGCAUUAGCUAGUUGGUAAGGUAACGGCUUACCAAGGCAACGAUGCGUAGCCGACCUGAGAGGGUGAUCGGCCACACUGGAACUGAGACACGGUCCAGACUCCUGCGGGAGGCAGCAGUAGGGAAUCUUCCGCAAUGGGCGAAAGCCUGACGGAGCAACGCCGCGUGAGUGAUGAAGGUCUUCGGAUCGUAAAGCUCUGUUAUUAGGGAAGAACAAAUGUGGAAGUAGCUAUGCACGUCUUGACGGUACCUAAUCAGAAAGCCACGGCUAACUACGUG